rnacentral:hammerhead_ribozyme from 1 species
AUCCAGCUGACGAGUCCCAGUUAGGACGAAAUGCGCUUUAUCCUGGAU